GACGUAGGGCGCAAGCGUUGUCCGGAUCUAUUGGGCGUAAAGAGCUCGUAGGCGGCCUGUCGCGUCGACCGUGAAAACCCGCAGCUCAACUGCGGGCUUGCGGUCGAUACGGGCAGGCUGGAGUUCGGUAGGGGAGACUGGAAUUCCUGGUGUAGCGGUGAAAUGCGCAGAUAUCAGGAGGAACACCGGUGGCGAAGGCAGGUCACUGGGCCGCAACUGACGCUGAGGAGCGAAAGCAUGGGGAGCGAACAGG
rnacentral:rRNA from 1 species